rnacentral:rRNA from 1 species
UACGAAGGGGGCUAGCGUUGCUCGGAAUUACUGGGCGUAAAGGGUGCGUAGGCGGGUUUUUAAGUCAGGGGUGAAAUCCUGGAGCUCAACUCCAGAACUGCCUUUGAUACUGAAGAUCUUGAGUCCGGGAGAGGUGAGUGGAACUGCGAGUGUAGAGGUGAAAUUCGUAGAUAUUCGCAAGAACACCAGUGGCGAAGGCGGCUCACUGGCCCGGUACUGACGCUGAGGCACGAAAGCGUGGGGAGCAAACAGG